AGGGUUCGAUUCUGGCUCAGAACGAACGCUGGCGGCAGGCCUAACACAUGCAAGUCGAGCGCGCCCUUCGGGGUGAGCGGCGGACGGGUUAGUAACGCGUGGGAACGUACCCUUUGGUAGGGAAUAGCCACUGGAAACGGUGAGUAAUACCCUAUGAGCCCUUCGGGGGAAAGAUUUAUCGCCAAAGGAUCGGCCCGCGUUAGAUUAGGUAGUUGGUGGGGUAAUGGCCUACCAAGCCUACGAUCUAUAGCUGGUUUUAGAGGAUGAUCAGCAACACUGGGACUGAGACACGGCCCAGACUCCUACGGGAGGCAGCAGUGGGGAAUCUUGGACAAUGGGGGCAACCCUGAAUCCAGCCAUGCCGCGUGAGUGAAGAAGGCCUUAGGGUCGUAAAGCUCUUUCGCCUGUGAAGAUAAUGACGGUAGCAGGUAAAGAAACCCCGGCUAACUCCGUGCCAGCAGCCGC
rnacentral:rRNA from 1 species